rnacentral:lncRNA from 10 species
AUAGCAUUAGGAGAUAUACCUAAUGUAAAUGAUGAGUUAAUGGGUGCAGCACACCAACAUGGCACAUGUAUACCUAUGUAACAAACCUGCACAUUGUGUACAUGUACCCUAGAACUUAAAGUAUAAUUAAAAAACAAAACAAAACAAAACAAAAACAAUGAGGUGCUAUUGUUUUAGUGGUGAGUAUCCGGAGACCUGGGAGUUCUAUUUACCAGGUAUAACCUGGGCUCAAAAUUCCAGGCUGACUUCAGGCAUGUCCUCAUCUCAUAGAUGCCAGCACUAAGGCCCAGAGAGGGCCGAGCUCAUUCAGCCCACCCAUCUUCUCACCCCUGACUGCAUUUCCCGGGGGUCCUUCUGCAGCCAGGUGCUGCUGUGGUACUUUGGGAUCUAUUGGCUGAGCUCCCAGAGAAGGGUCAUGGAUUGGGCUAGUUUGGAACAAGUGAAGGGACUGAAGAUGGGCUCAGUAUGGGGCGAAGACCUUCAGGAAGGGUCUGCAGAGUGAGUAGGGGGGUUUUGACUAGGAAAAGUUCCAACCCUGCCGGGGCCGCUGUCAAGAGAAAAGCAUCUAUUACAGUUACAUUUUUAAGUUAAGUAGACUGAAGAAUAUUUCUUGUGUAUUAAAGACGUUCCUUUUUGGUUGAUUUGCAAUGGAAAAGCUUUUGUUUUCUUUUUUUUUUUGGAAACAGGGUCUCACUCUGCUCACUCUGUCUCCCAAGCUGGAGUGCAGUGGUACAGUCACGGCUCACUGCAGCCUCCACUUCCUGGACUCAAGUGAUCUUCUCACUUCAGCCUUCUGAGUAGCUGGGACUACAGCCCCCUCUGCAGCUCUUCAUGGGGGUCCACUCAAGUCAGAAGCCACAUUUGGGUGUGAUUCAGAGAGCUGUUUAUGCAAAACCAGCUUUGUCACCAUCAGGCAAGGCACCUGAAUUCCCACCGCAGAGAGUGUUGUGGCCGUGAGGACUUUUCUGUCACCAGCCAUUUCCAGGUAGACCCAGUGUAAUCACAAGCAUCCUUGUAAGUGGCAAAGAGGCAGAGGAGACAGCGCCAGAGAGGCAGCUGCAUGAGAAGGAUCAAGAUGUUGCUGACUUUGAAGUUGGAAGAAGAAGGCCAUGAGCCUCAGUAUGUGGGCGGCUUCUAGAAGCUGGAAGGGGCAAGGAGAUGGAUUUGACCCUUCAGCCUCCAGGGGCAGCUGUACCUGCCAUCACUGAUUGUAGCCUGGUGAGGCCUGUUUUAGACUUCUGACCUGUAGAGCUGUAACAUAAUACAUUUGGGUUGUUUUCAACCACUAAGUUUGUGGUAAUUUGUUGUAGCAGCUGUAGAAAAUGAAUACAUAUGAAUCCUCUGGCAUUUGUUUGAGAUUUGCUCUAUGGCCUAGUAUGUGGUUGUAAAUGUUCCAUCUGUGCCUGAAAAAAUGUAUAUUUCUAAUUCAGUAGUCUCUGCUUUUUUUUUUUAUUUUGUACCCCAUCAAUAAAAUGAUUUUCAGCAUGUAUCCCCAAA